rnacentral:rRNA from 1 species
UACGAAGGGGGCUAGCGUUGUUCGGAAUUACUGGGCGUAAAGCGCGCGCAGGCGGUCUUCCAAGUCAGUGGUGAAAGCCCGGAGCUCAACUCCGGAAUUGCCAUUGAAACUGUUAGACUUGAGGAUGAGAGAGGUGAGUGGAAUUCCCAGUGUAGAGGUGAAAUUCGUAGAUAUUGGGAAGAACACCGGUGGCGAAGGCGGCGACCUGGUCCUUUACCGACGCUGAGGCGCGAAAGCGUGGGGAGCAAACAGG